UUGUGGUUAAAAAGCUCGUAGUUGGAUCUCAACAGCGUGGUGGCGGUCGGCAUGCUUGCCGUUACUGCUGUCUUGCGCUGUGCUUUUUGCUGGAGGGUGGCAGGUGCUCUUAAUCGGGUGUCUGUUGUCGCCAGCAGGUUUACUUUGAAAAAAUUAGAGUGCUCAAAGCAGGCUGUUACGCCUGAAUAUUCGUGCAUGGAAUAAUAGAAUAGGACGUCGAUCCUAUUUUGUUGGUUUUCGGGACUCGACGUAAUGAUUAAUAGGGACAGUCGGGGGCAUUUGUAUUCAAACGACAGAGGUGAAAUACUUGGACCGUUUGAAGACAAACUACUGCGAAAGCAUUUGCCAAGAAUGUUUUCAUUAAUCAAGAACGAAAGUUAGAGGUUCGAAGGCGAUUAGAUACCGCCCUAGUUCUAACCAUAAACGAUGCCAGCUAGCGAUCUGCCGGCGUUUUCAUUGUAGACUCGGCAGGAAGCUUCCGGGAAACCAAAGCAUUUGGGUUCCAGGGGAAGUAUGGUUGCAAAGCUGAAACUUAAAGGAAUUGACGGAAGGGCACCACCAGGAGUGGAGCCUGCGGCUUAAUUUGACUCAACACGGGGAAACUCACCAGGUCCAGACAUAAUAAGGAUUGACAGAUUGAUAGCUCUUUCUUGAUUUNAUGGGUGGUGGUGCAUGACCGU
rnacentral:rRNA from 1 species